rnacentral:rRNA from 1 species
AUGCACGCUGGCGGCUUGCCUAAUACCUGCAAGUAGAACGCUGAAGGCGGAGCUUGCUCUUCUGGAUGAGUUGCGAACGGGUGAGUAACGCGUAGGUAACCUGCCUGGUAGCGGGGGAUAACUAUUGGAAACGAUAGCUAAUACCGCAUGACAACAGUUAUUGCAUGAUAACUGUUUAAAAGGGGCAACUGCUCCACUACCAGAUGGACCUGCGUUGUAUUAGCUAGUUGGUGAGGUAACGGCUCACCGAGGCGACGAUACAUAGCCGACCUGAGAGGGUGAUCGGCCACACUGGGACUGAGACACGGCCCAGACUCCUACGGGAGGCAGCAGUAGGGAAUCUUCGGCAAUGGACGGAAGUCUGACCGAGCAACGCCGCGUGAGUGAAGAAGGUUUUCGGAUCGUAAAGCUCUGUUGUAAGAGAAGAACGAGGGUGAGAGUGGAAAGUUCACACUGUGACGGUAGCUUACCAGAAAGGGACGGCUAACUACGUG